CCUACGGGAGGCAGCAGUAGGGAAUCUUCCACAAUGGGCGGAAGCCUGAUGGAGCAACGCCGCGUGGGUGAAGAAGGUCUUCGGAUCGUAAAACCCUGUUGUUAGAGAAGAAAGUGCGUGAGAGUAACUGUUCACGUUUCGACGGUAUCUAACCAGAAAGCCACGGCUAACUACGUGCCAGCAGCCGCGGUACUACGUAGGUGGCAAGCGUUAUCCGGAUUUAUUGGGGGUAAAGGGAACGCAGGCGGUCUUUUAAGUCUGAUGUGAAAGCCUUCGGCUUAACCGGAGUAGUGCAUUGGAAACUGGGAGACGUGAGUGCAGAAGAGGAGAGUGGAACUCCAUGUGUAGCGGUGAAAUGCGUAGAUAUAUGGAAGAACACCAGUGGCGAAAGCGGCUCUCUGGUCUGUAACUGACGCUGAGGUUCGAAAGCGUGGGUAGCAAACAGGAUUAGAUACCCCAGUAGU
rnacentral:rRNA from 1 species